UGGAAGUUGGGAGGCUGAGGCAGGAGAAUCACAAGUUCAAGGACAAUGUGGGCAACUAGUAAUGCAGAUUACCGUUCUAUGGAACUUUUAGAGAAUGGAGAAAAACACCUUGUUAAAAGUGGAAAUAGAGGAUCUCCUUGAGAUACCUGCUCUUAAUGUUUUAUCCGAUUUAAUUGCACAGCACUCUUAUGAGGACCCAGAACUUGCUCAAAGUAUGUACCCAAGAAGUAUGGACAUAACUGAAAUGGAAGAACUUUCUCAAGACACUUCUCUGAUUCUUGCUUCACCCGUUCAUCAUCUACAAUGCAAGCCUCACACCAAGAACAUUCAUUUUGCAGUUUUUUUGUAGUGACGAGUGAGUCUCCUUUCCAUCAUUUAGCCAAUGAUUUACCAAGGUCUUGUGCUAUCAUCUCCCUGUCCUCCCUGGAGCUUAAGGUACCUUCAUGACAUUAUCACUUGUGGCACCAUCAAUAAUGGCAAUAUGGAAAGAGAAAAAGGAGCUGUGUGUGCAUGAGUGGUUCUACAGUCCCCAAUAUUCUUCAUCUGAAGACUAACAAAGCCAGGUGAAGAAAUAAAUGGAAAGGGAACAUGAUAUAUAACACAUAAUGCUUUUGUCAAAAUUUGGGGAAAAAAUAUACCAAACCAGCAAUUUUGGGGAAAAACUUUUAACUUCAGAUUCCUGACUAUGAUACCCAGUAAAGGAUGGCAUUUCACCUCUUCCCUGUCUGUAAAUGAUCAUUGACUAUAAUAAAAAACUACAGAUGCCAAUACCUUUACUUAAGACUUAACUCCCAUAGCCUUUCCACUCUGCAGAUAUAGGGUAGCUGUGCAUCACUCCACGAAUUAUGCCCAAGACUUCCACAGGAGGUGCUGUUUUACUCCAAUAUUUCCUAUUGCUCUAUAAUAUCAGAUUCUUUUCAUACCAUUGGGGAACUGGGAAUCACCAACAUUGCUUUAGUUAAAAUUUUGACUGAGCUCCCAGUUUCUAAACUAGCUUCAUUAACACAUCACAGGUGGUAGUGUGAGCAUGCUGCCUUCUGAGAGUGGGUUUCCAAGUGCACCCCAGUCACCUUCGGCAGAAAUAUUUGUGCUAAAUUCAUAAUCACCUUUUUCUCUUUAGAGCUCAGUGUGGUUUACAUCUGUUUGCCCCAUGACUCCACUCAUAAAACAAGAGUACAAUUAACAGUUUUUAAGGAUCCUUAGGGACAUUAUAUGCUUGUGAAAAUGAAACUAAUUCAACCUAACUCCAACAUAACUGCAGCUGCUUG